UACGGAGGGUGCAAGCGUUAAUCGGAAUUACUGGGCGUAAAGCGUGCGCAGGCGGUUUCUUAAGUCAGAUGUGAAAGCCCCGGGCUUAACCUGGGAACUGCGUUUGAAACUGGGAGACUUGAGUGUGGCAGAGGGGGGUGGAAUUCCGACGUGUAGCAGUGAAAUGCGUAGAUAUCUGGAGGAACACCGGUGGCGAAGGCGGCGAUCCUGGACCGACACCGUGACACUGAGGAGCGAAAGCCAGGGGAGCAAACGGG
rnacentral:rRNA from 1 species